rnacentral:rRNA from 1 species
UACGUAGGGUGCGAGCGUUGUCCGGAAUUAUUGGGCGUAAAGAGCUCGUAGGCGGUCUGUCGCGUCGGUCGUGAAAACUUGGGGCUUAACCCUGAGCUUGCGGUCGAUACGGGCAUGACUGGAGUUCGGCAGGGGAGACUGGAAUUCCUGGUGUAGCGGUGAAAUGCGCAGAUAUCAGGAGGAACACCGGUGGCGAAGGCGGCCAUCUGGACGGAUACUGACGCUGAGACGCGAAAGCGUGGGGAGCAAACAGG